CUUCCAAAAACAAAUCGAACCCUACCACUUUUCACUUCGCCGCACGCAAUACCACCUCGCUGAAUACAAUCGAAAAAAUACAUUUUUAUAGUAAUAUUACUAAUAUAUGAUGAAAUGGAAAGUAUAAUUUGGUGCAAAUUAAUGUAAUUAGGUGCGAAUCUAUAAUUAUGCAAAUGAACACAAGUGCUCAACGCAUGUUUAUGAGUCUACAAUGUAUGUUAAUACUUGUUAUUCUAACUGUCAAACCUUUAACUUGUCCUUGUUUAUAUUCCACUAUAUUGUAUAAAUUCGCUGGGUCCAAAUUUUGGGGUUUUCGAGUCGUUACACAAAGGAAAACACAUUAAUUCAACACGCGAGAGAGUCCAGCGUGCGACACAACCGAUUUUUGAUAGGAAACCGGUACAAUACUUUGAAAAUUCCACGAAACUGUGUGAAAUAUAUAUUAGAUCGCUUAGUGAAAAGCCGCCAUUUUGGAACUGAACUGAAUAUGUCACUGGAGCACUCUAUCCUUGGAGUUCGGAAUUCUGCGCGUGCGUACAAGUGUAUGGGCUAAUAAACGAAAAAUGUACCACAAGCAUGGCAUGAGCCGGCUAUUACGUAGAUAAAUACGAGCUUGUUACUAUAAUAUAUAAAUCAUGGGACCGAGGGAUCGAUAGCAUUUUGGCUUAAUCGUUGCACCCUGAGCCUGCGAUAAGCUAUCGCUUCUCGACUACGAAAAAAACCCCAGGAAAACACAGGGAAAAAAACCAGAAAA